AACACGAAGUGAGUGGCGAACGGGUGAGUAACACGUGGGUAACCUGCCCAGAAGUAGGGGAUAACACCUGGAAACAGAUGCUAAUACCGUAUAACAGAGAAAACCGCAUGGUUUUCUUUUAAAAGAUGGCUCUGCUAUCACUUCUGGAUGGACCCGCGGCGUAUUAGCUAGUUGGUGAGGUAAAGGCUCACCAAGGCAGUGAUACGUAGCCGACCUGAGAGGGUAAUCGGCCACAUUGGGACUGAGACACGGCCCAGACUCCUACGGGAGGCAGCAGUAGGGAAUCUUCCACAAUGGACGCAAGUCUGAUGGAGCAACGCCGCGUGAGUGAAGAAGGGUUUCGGCUCGUAAAGCUCUGUUGUUAAAGAAGAACGUGGGUAAGAGUAACUGUUUACCCAGUGACGGUAUUUAACCAGAAAGCCACGGCUAACUACGUGCC
rnacentral:rRNA from 1 species